rnacentral:hammerhead_ribozyme from 1 species
AGCUGACGUGUCCCAAAUAGGAUGAAACGUGCGUCCU